rnacentral:rRNA from 1 species
UACCAGCACCCCGAGUGGUCGGGACGAUUAUUGGGCCUAAAGCAUCCGUAGCCGGUUCUGCAAGUCCUCCGUUAAAUCCACCUGCUCAACAGAUGGGCUGCGGAGGAUACCGCAGAGCUAGGAGGCGGGAGAGGCAAACGGUACUCGGUGGGUAGGGGUAAAAUCCAUUGAUCCACUGAAGACCACCAGUGGCGAAGGCGGUUUGCCAGAACGCGCUCGACGGUGAGGGAUGAAAGCUGGGGGAGCAAACCGG